rnacentral:lncRNA from 1 species
UCAUAUGCAUCAGAACCUCUUGAAGAUGGCACUGAAAGUAACAUCUGACCCACCAUAUUCAAAAUCUCAUGAUUUAGUGUGUUAGUUUGAUAAUAGUGACAAAUACUCACUUCUUCCGGUAACUCCAAUAUUUUCUGCGAUCUAAACUGGAUGUGGCAUAACCGUCAAUAGCUGUUACUUUGAUUCUGAAAAGUCAUGGGGAUGUGUGGGGGAUCUUGCCCAUUCCUACUUGUGUCAGUUUCCUGAUCUCUUCCUACCUCUUCCAGGUAAGAUUAUAUUAUUACUCAUAUUUAGGUAAGCCACUGCACUGUAUACUAUGUGGCCAUAGUAUUAUAUACUUUGAUUUUGUGAAACAUGAAAAUACAAAGACAACACUAGAUGGAAAAAAAUCCACUUUAUGAGAAUCAAUUUUUUAACAGUGAAAAAGUUUGAGGUUUAUGAUUGUGAAUACCAGAUUUAAGUGCAUGUUCAGUGAAAUCACAGAAAACCCCACCUGAUUUCUAGUGAUCAGAGGAUGAAGUUACCAGUUUGUACUAACCAUCUCUCAAUUCUAAUCUUACCAUAACAUUGUAACGAAAUAAAAAGUAAAAUUAACAAAGAUUACAGUAUGUUGCAGAUAUAUGUAACACUUACCCGGGAGCCAAAUUUGAACUCAGCUAGGUAUGGUGGCUGAUGAACAUUUAAUAUUUCUUUUUAUGUUCAACCUGUCCAUUCCACAGCUUUUCACAACUCUACCCCCCUCCACAUUUCUUUUCAAAUUAAGCAACUCUGCUGUUUUACAAAACAAACCUAAAUGUCAGUUUUGGCCUGGUUUCUUUUUGCUUUAAAGUGUUUGUAGUAAAAAAAAAAUGAAGUAGGAAUAUCAUACCUCAAUAACUGAGCUUUUUAAAGAAAUGACUACAAUCCUAUGCAUACAUAUUUGGGAAUACGGACCAUUAAACUCACUGAAUUGCAAGGAGCAUGAAGGCUUGUACCGCUGUGAAGCUACAGUUACACCCCUGGCCAGGCUAGGGUCACAUAUAAGAUCCUCUGCAAGACUGUAUCCCUCGGGGAGAGUUUGGCUGUUACGUACAUGCAGCCCACUCUUACUCUGUGAGGGUGAAUCAUCCAGCAUCUUCCUAGUCAGCAUCGAUAGUUUUCCAGGUUCUGCUUGGAAUAGAUUUGGAAUGCCUAGAUGUGUCUAACAAUGUGUUUCCACCACUCUGUUUGCAGUUGGGAUUUCUAG